UUCCUUGUCGGGUAAGUUCCGACCCGCACGAAAGGUGUAACGAUCUGGAUACUGUCUCAGAGAGAGACUCGGUGAAAUAAAAAUAUCUGUGAAGAUGCGGAUUACCUGUACGCGGACAGAAAGACCCUAUGAAGCUUUACUGUAACCUGGAAUUGCUCUCAAGCUUAUCUUGCGCAGCUUAGGUGGGAGACGUUGAAGUCCUUUCUCCGGAAAGGAUGGAGUCAUCAGUGAGAUACCACUCUUGGUAAGCUAGAGCGCUCAUUUCUAACCGUUAUCCGGUAGAAAGACAGUUUCAGGCGGGCAGUUUGACUGGGGCAGUCACCUCCCAAAAGGUAAUGGAGGUGUACAAAGGUUCUCUCAGGCUGGACGGAAAUCAGCCAUAGAGUGUAAAAGCAUAAGAGAGCUUGACUGCGAGACUGACAUGUCAAGCAGAGACGAAAGUCGGUUUUAGUGAUCCGACGGUGCUGAGUGGAAAGGCCGUCGCUCAACGGAUAAAAGUUACUCUAGGGAUAACAGGCUAAUCUCCCCCAAGAGUUCACAUCGACGGGGAGGUUUGGCACCUCGAUGUCGGCUUAUCGCAUCCUGGAGCGGAAGUACGUUCCAAGGGUUGGGCUGUUCGCCCAUAGAAAGCGGUACAUGAGCUGGGUUCAGAACGUCGUGAGACAGUUUGGUCCAUAUCCCGUAUAGGCGUUUAGAGCAUUGAGAGGAUCUCCCCUUUGUACGAGAGGACCAGGUGGGGACAAACCGCUAGUGUACCAGUUAUUCCGCCAGGGGUAAACGCUGGGUAGCUAUGUUUGGAGUAAAUAACUGCUGAAAGCAUAUAAGUAGGAAGUUCACCUUAAGAUGAGUGCUCUUUUGUCAAUGUCUAGUUUGACAGAAAAGACAAGGAAGGUCACGGUAAGACUAACCGUUUGAUAGGCGUGAUGUAGACGUCCAGUAAUGGAUUUUGAAGCUGACACGUCCUAAUAGACCGAGGGAUUUGAU
rnacentral:rRNA from 1 species